rnacentral:rRNA from 1 species
UACGGGGGGGGCAAGCGUUGUUCGGAAUUACUGGGCGUAAAGGGCUCGUAGGCGGCCAACUAAGUCGGAUGUGAAAUCCCCAGGCUUAACCUGGGAACUGCAUCCGAUACUGGUUGGCUUGAAUCCGGGAGAGGGAUGCGGAAUUCCAGGUGUAGCGGUGAAAUGCGUAGAUAUCAGGAGGAACACCAAUGGCGAAGGCAGCUCGCUGGGACGGUACUGACGCUGAGGCGCGAAAGCGUGGGGAGCAAACAGG